rnacentral:rRNA from 1 species
AGAGUUUGAUCAUGGCUCAGAUUGAACGCUGGCGGCAGGCCUAACACAUGCAAGUCGAACGGUAACAGGAAGCAGCUUGCUUCUUUGCUGACGAGUGGCGGACGGGUGAGUAAUGUCUGGGAAACUGCCUGAUGGAGGGGGAUAACUACUGGAAACGGUAGCUAAUACCGCAUAACGUCGCAAGACCAAAGAGGGGGACCUUCGGGCCUCUUGCCAUCGGAUGUGCCCAGAUGGGAUUAGCUUGUUGGUGGGGUAACGGCUCACCAAGGCGACGAUCCCUAGCUGGUCUGAGAGGAUGACCAGCCACACUGGAACUGAGACACGGUCCAGACUCCUACGGGAGGCAGCAGUGGGGAAUAUUGCACAAUGGGCGCAAGCCUGAUGCAGCCAUGCCGCGUGUAUGAAGAAGGCCUUCGGGUUGUAAAGUACUUUCAGCGGGGAGGAAGGGAGUAAAGUUAAUACCUUUGCUCAUUGACGUUACCCGCAGAAGAAGCACCGGCUAACUCCGUGCCAGCAGCCGCGGUAAUACGGAGGGUGCAAGCGUUAAUCGGAAUUACUGGGCGUAAAGCGCACGCAGGCGGUUUGUUAAGUCAGAUGUGAAAUCCCCGGGCUCAACCUGGGAACUGCAUCUGAUACUGGCAAGCUUGAGUCUCGUAGAGGGGGGUAGAAUUCCAGGUGUAGCGGUGAAAUGCGUAGAGAUCUGGAGGAAUACCGGUGGCGAAGGCGGCCCCCUGGACGAAGACUGACGCUCAGGUGCGAAAGCGUGGGGAGCAAACAGGAUUAGAUACCCUGGUAGUCCACGCCGUAAACGAUGUCGACUUGGAGGUUGUGCCCUUGAGGCGUGGCUUCCGGAGCUAACGCGUUAAGUCGACCGCCUGGGGAGUACGGCCGCAAGGUUAAAACUCAAAUGAAUUGACGGGGGCCCGCACAAGCGGUGGAGCAUGUGGUUUAAUUCGAUGCAACGCGAAGAACCUUACCUGGUCUUGACAUCCACGGAAGUUUUCAGAGAUGAGAAUGUGCCUUCGGGAACCGUGAGACAGGUGCUGCAUGGCUGUCGUCAGCUCGUGUUGUGAAAUGUUGGGUUAAGUCCCGCAACGAGCGCAACCCUUAUCCUUUGUUGCCAGCGGUCCGGCCGGGAACUCAAAGGAGACUGCCAGUGAUAAACUGGAGGAAGGUGGGGAUGACGUCAAGUCAUCAUGGCCCUUACGACCAGGGCUACACACGUGCUACAAUGGCGCAUACAAAGAGAAGCGACCUCGCGAGAGCAAGCGGACCUCAUAAAGUGCGUCGUAGUCCGGAUUGGAGUCUGCAACUCGACUCCAUGAAGUCGGAAUCGCUAGUAAUCGUGGAUCAGAAUGCCACGGUGAAUACGUUCCCGGGCCUUGUACACACCGCCCGUCACACCAUGGGAGUGGGUUGCAAAAGAAGUAGGUAGCUUAACCUUCGGGAGGGCGCUUACCACUUUGUGAUUCAUGACUGGGGUGAAGUCGUAACAAGGUAACCGUAGGGGAACCUGCGGUUGGAUCACCU